rnacentral:rRNA from 1 species
CGGACGGGUGAGUAACGCGUGAGAACCUACCUUCAGAAUGGGGACAACAGUUGGAAACGACUGCUAAUACCCAAUGUGCCGAAAGUUGAAAGAUUUAUCGUCUGAAGAUGGGCUCGCGUCUGAUUAGCUAGAUGGUGGGGUAAGAGCCUACCAUGGCAACGAUCAGUAGCUGGUCUGAGAGGAUGAGCAGCCACACUGGGACUGAGACACGGCCCAGACUCCUACGGGAGGCAGCAGUGGGGAAUUUUCCGCAAUGGGCGAAAGCCUGACGGAGCAAUACCGCGUGAGGGAGGAAGGUCCUUGGAUUGUAAACCUCUUUUAUCAGGGAAGAAGUUCUGACGGUACCUGAUGAAUAAGCAUCGGCUAACUCCGUGCCAGCAGCCGCGGUAAUACGGAGGAUGCAAGCGUUAUCCGGAAUUAUUGGGCGUAAAGCGUCCGUAGGUGGUUAUGCAAGUCUGCCGUUAAAGAAUGGAGCUUAACUCCAUAGGAGCGGUGGAAACUGCAAGACUAGAGUACAGUAGGGGUAGCAGGAAUUCCCAGUGUAGCGGUGAAAUGCGUAGAUAUUGGGAAGAACAUCGGUGGCGAAAGCGUGCUACUGGGCUGAAACUGACACUGAGGGACGAAAGCUAGGGUAGCGAAAGGGAUUAGAUACCCCUGUAGUC